UAGGUGUUAUAUAAUGAAAGACCUUGUUGCAAUCUCCUUGUCAGUACAACGAAUGGUGUACCAUACCAGCGGCGACUGAUGGAAACAAGACAUGAUUUUGUCAUGUGUGUAAAGUGAACAACCUCCGCAGAGUGUAAACUAUUCAAACAGUCAGGUCCAUGGUCAUGAACAACACUUGAACCUUUCUUGACAUGCAUGACUUGUCUUGCGUAUUCCUUGUGUGCCUUUACUCUAGAAACCUACAAACAACGUGAGUAGGUUGAGUACCCUCAUGUUGAAGGAAG
rnacentral:lncRNA from 1 species